rnacentral:lncRNA from 1 species
AAUAUCUCCAAAAGUAAAAGAAUAAAAUAAAAACUAGAAUAAAACAAACAUCAUUGAAAAAAUUAAUCAAAUUUAAAAAUUCAAAUUUCAUGGAAUUUCUGAACAAUUCUUAACAAUAGAUAUAAGAAUAUGUGGUAUUUGUGGCAAUGAGACACCUCUCCAAUUCACAAUUUUUAAAAGUAAACCAUUAAAGGUCAAAGUACACUGAGCAUGGAUAAAAUAAAAAAAUUCCAUUAAGAAUAACAAACAAGCAUAAUUAAAGUUUUU